GACGAACGCUGGCGGCGUGCUUAACACAUGCAAGUCGAACGGAAAGGCCCUGCUUUUGUGGGGUGCUCGAGUGGCGAACGGGUGAGUAACACGUGAGUAACCUGCCCUUGACUUUGGGAUAACUUCAGGAAACUGGGGCUAAUACCGGAUAGGAGCUCCUGCUGCAUGGUGGGGGUUGGAAAGUUUCGGCGGUUGGGGAUGGACUCGCGGCUUAUCAGCUUGUUGGUGGGGUAGUGGCUUACCAAGGCUUUGACGGGUAGCCGGCCUGAGAGGGUGACCGGCCACAUUGGGACUGAGAUACCGCCCAGACUCCUACGGGAGGCAGCAGUGGGGAAUAUUGCAAAAUGGGCGGAAGCCUGAUGCAGCAACGCCGCGUGCGGGAUGACGGCCUUCGGGUUGUAAACCGCUUUCGCCUGUGACGAAGCGUGAGUGACGGUAAUGGGUAAAGAAGCACCGGCUAACUACGUG
rnacentral:rRNA from 1 species